rnacentral:rRNA from 1 species
GACGAACGCUGGCGGCGGGCUUAACACAUGCAAGUCGAACGGAAAGGCCCUGCUUUUGUGGGGUGCUCGAGGGGCGAACGGGUGCGUAACACGUGAGUAACCUGCCCUUGACUUUGGGAUAACUUCAGGAAACUGGGGCUAAUACCGGAUAGGAGCUCCUGCUGCAUGGUGGGGGUUGGAAAGGUUCGGCGGUUGGGGAUGGACUCGCGGCUUAUCAGCCUGUUGGUGGGGUAGUGGCUUACCAAGGCUUUGACGGGUAGCCGGCCUGAGAGGGUGACCGGCCACAUUGGGACUGAGAUACGGCCCAGACUCCUGCGGGAGGCAGCAGUGGGGAAUAGUGCACGAUGGGCGGAAGCCUGAUGCAGCAACGCCGCGUGCGGGAUGACGGCCUUCGGGUUGUAAACCGCUUUCGCCUGUGACGAAGCGUGAGUGACGGUAAUGUGUAAAGAAGCACCGGCUAACUACGUG